rnacentral:rRNA from 1 species
UACGGAGGGAGCUAGCGUUGUUCGGAAUUACUGGGCGUAAAGCGCACGUAGGCGGCUUUGUAAGUUAGAGGUGAAAGCCCGGGGCUCAACUCCGGAAUUGCCUUUAAGACUGCAUCGCUCGAAUCCGGGAGAGGUGAGUGGAAUUCCGAGUGUAGAGGUGAAAUUCGUAGAUAUUGGGAGGAACACCGGUGGCGAAGGCGGCCCCCUGGACCGGUACUGACGCUGAGGCGCGAAAGCGUGGGGAGCGAACAGG